AGUAAAGAAAUCUAUCUAUUUCUACUGUUAAAAUUUGGCAUGAUUGAUAAAAUAACCAAAUAGUUACACGUGGCGUGCAAUGUGCACCUAAUUCUGCGUACAAUGACCAGUUUUUAAUGGUAUAAAUGGAUGAAAUUUUCAAUA
rfam:Gossypium raimondii Chr06_contig_1024, whole genome shotgun sequence.